rnacentral:misc_RNA from 1 species
GAUGAAGAACGCAGUGAAAUGCGAUAAGUAGUGUGAAUUGCAGACUUUAGUGAAUCAUCGAAUCUUUGAACGCACAUUGCGCCCCUUGGUAUUCCAUUGGGCAUGCCUGUUCGAGCGUCAUUUACACCCUCAAGCCUAGCUUGGUGUUGGGCGUUGUCCGCAAGGACUCGCCUCAAAUUCAUUGGCAGCGGCAUCGUCAGCUUCUCGCGCAGCACAUUGCGCUUCAGAAGGCUUCUGGCGGGCUCGCGUCCACUAAGAUACCACCCAGUUUGACCUCGAAUCAGGUAGGGAUACCCGCUGAACUUAAGCAUAUCAAUAAGCGGAGGA